rnacentral:rRNA from 1 species
CGACAGCAAUAUGAAGGUCAGGCUGAAGACCUUACCCGAUUUAGCUGAGAGGUGGUGCAUGGCCGUCGUCAGUUCGUACUGUGAAGCAUCCUGUUAAGUCAGGCAACGAGCGAGACCCACGUCCACAGUUGCCAGCAUACCCUCCGGGGUGAUGGGUACACUGUGGAGACCGCCGCUGCUAAAGCGGAGGAAGGAGUGGGCAACGGUAGGUCAGUAUGCCCCGAAUCUCCCGGGCUACACGCGGGCUACAAUGGUUGGUACAAUGGGCAUCUACCCCGAAAGGGGAAGGAAAUCUCUUAAAGCCAAUCGUAGUUCGGAUUGAGGGCUGCAACUCGCCCUCAUGAAGCUGGAAUCCGUAGUAAUCGCGUUUCAACAGAACGCGGUGAAUACGUCCCUGCUCCUU